rnacentral:rRNA from 1 species
ACACAUGCAAGUCGAGCGGAACGAUGGAAGCUUGCUUCCAGGCGUCGAGCGGCGGACGGGUGAGUAAUGCAUAGGAAUCUGCCCGAUAGUGGGGGAUAACCUGGGGAAACUCAGGCUAAUACCGCAUACGUCCUACGGGAGAAAGCAGGGGAUCUUCGGACCUUGCGCUAUCGGAUGAGCCUAUGUCGGAUUAGCUAGUUGGUGAGGUAACGGCUCACCAAGGCCGCGAUCCGUAGCUGGUCUGAGAGGAUGAUCAGCCACAUCGGGACUGAGACACGGCCCGAACUCCUACGGGAGGCAGCAGUGGGGAAUAUUGGACAAUGGGCGAAAGCCUGAUCCAGCCAUGCCGCGUGUGUGAAGAAGGCUUUCGGGUUGUAAAGCACUUUCAGUGGGGAAGAAAUCCUCAGGGCCAAUACCCCUGAGGGAGGACAUCACCCACAGAAGAAGCACCGGCUAACUCCGUGCCAGCAGCCGCGGUAAUACGGAGGGUGCGAGCGUUAAUCGGAAUUACUGGGCGUAAAGCGCGCGUAGGCGGCGUGAUCAGCCGGUUGUGAAAGCCCCGGGCUCAACCUGGGAACGGCAUCCGGAACUGUCACGCUAGAGUGCAGGAGAGGAAGGUAGAAUUCCCGGUGUAGCGGUGAAAUGCGUAGAGAUCGGGAGGAAUACCAGUGGCGAAGGCGGCCUUCUGGACUGACACUGACGCUGAGGUGCGAAAGCAUGGGUAGCAAACAGGAUUAGAUACCCUGGUAGUCCAUGCCGUAAACGAUGUCGACUAGCCGUUGGGGUCCUUGUGACCUUUGUGGCGCAGUUAACGCGAUAAGUCGACCGCCUGGGGAGUACGGCCGCAAGGUUAAAACUCAAAUGAAUUGACGGGGGCCCGCACAAGCGGUGGAGCAUGUGGUUUAAUUCGAUGCAACGCGAAGAACCUUACCUACUCUUGACAUCGUGCGAACUUGGUAGAGAUACCUUGGUGCCUUCGGGAACGCACAGACAGGUGCUGCAUGGCCGUCGUCAGCUCGUGUUGUGAAAUGUUGGGUUAAGUCCCGUAACGAGCGCAACCCCUAUCCCUAUUUGCCAGCGAUUCGGUCGGGAACUCUAGGGAGACUGCCGGUGACAAACCGGAGGAAGGUGGGGAUGACGUCAGGUCAUCAUGGCCCUUACGAGUAGGGCUACACACGUGCUACAAUGGCCGGUACAAAGGGUUGCGAAGCCGCGAGGUGGUGCUAAUCCCGAAAAGCCGGUCUCAGUCCGGAUCGGAGUCUGCAACUCGACUCCGUGAAGUCGGAAUCGCUAGUAAUCGUGAAUCAGAAUGUCACGGUGAAUACGUUCCCGGGCCUUGUACACACCGCCCGUCACACCAUGGGAGUGGACUGCACCAGAAGUGGUUAGCUUAACCUUCGGGAGAGCG